rnacentral:rRNA from 1 species
AUGCAAAACUGGGCUCCCAGCCAGGCUGAGCGGAAACGCAGGGAUCGGCCGUUUCCGCGAGCCAGGCCCGCGCCUGCACCCGCGCGUGCAAAGUCGCGAGCUAGGUCUCGUCUUCCGGUCCUGUCGGCUCGCAUUUUCCCCCGCUCCCCGCCGCUCUCUUCUCUGAUGCGACGCAUUUGGAUCUCGUCGUCCUCGCUGCAUCUACCGUUCGCCGUCGCAUCUCCUCACCGGUGCCAAGCCUACCAAACAACAUCUGAGGUGAGUCUGGCCCAUAUCAUGCAAGUACACCAAACACACAUCUCGACUCCAUCUUGCAUCAGAUGA